rnacentral:lncRNA from 1 species
UAUAAUUAUUGCAUGUUUUUAUUUCACAUUCUCCUUGCAAUAGCCAACUAACUUUCUUUAUGUAAUUCAUAAGUGAUCCAAAGGGUUUUGGGUUCUUUUUGGACCAACACGAGUUGCCCAGAAGAUUGCUACCAUGCUAUAGAGGGAACAGAAUACAUAUGCUUUUUCACACAUGUGGUACUUUGAUCUAUAAUUAUUCCAUAUUGAAGAUAUUUUUGUGUUCUGGCUUGACAUUAUGUGAAUGUCUGCAAAAUGGUUUGUUUCAAGACUUUACAUCUGAAACAGGUUUUAACUAAUAGCAUGCUAAAAGAUUGCAAUUUGCUACUGUCUUAAAGUCCUCAAGAUUAUAUUUAAUAAUUCAGUUACACAACAUGAUGAGUAC